CCAAUAGCGUAUAUUAAAGUUGUUGCAGUUAAAAAGCUCGUAGUUGAAUUUCGGGAUUGACGUGAUGGUCAUGCCUUAAGGGGUAUGAACUGUUACAGUUGAUUUCUCACCUUCUGGAGAAACUUGAUGUCCUUUAUUGGGUGUCUUGCGGAUCCAGGACCUUUACCUUGAAAAAAUUAGAGUGUUUAAAGCAGGCAUUUUUGCUCGAAUACAUUAGCAUGGAAUAAUAGAAUAGGACGGCAUGGUUCUAUUUUGUUGGUUUCUAGGAUCACCGUAAUGAUUAAUAGGGAUAGUUGGGGGGAUUAGUAUUCAAUUGUCAGAGGUGAAAUUCUUGGAUUUAUUGAAGACUAACUACUGCGAAAGCAUUUGCCAAGGAUGUUUUCAUUAAUCAAGAACGAAAGUUAGGGGAUCGAAGACGAUCAGAUACCGUCGUAGUCUUAACCAUAAACUAUGCCGACUAGGAAUCAGACGAUGUUAAUUUUUUAAUGACUCGUUUGGCACCUUACG
rnacentral:rRNA from 1 species